CAGAGAUCUACUGUAUCAGACUUAAGAAGAGCCAAGAGGAACUUGGCUCCUCCCUGCGUGAAUAAGCAAUCAGACAUUGCUGCUGAAGAUUCAACUGAAAAAAAAAAUUAAAACAAGAAGCUGGUGAGAUUUCGGCUGUAUCAUCAAACGUUGAUUGGCUAUUGGAACUGUUACCGACAGAUAAAAGCAAGAAAGUUGGGUAAAAAUCAAUCAAUCAUCUAUCCAUCAACUAAUCACGAUAGGACAUGAGGAGUACCACUUUUCCACAUUUACCGCUCUCAUAUUGUUUAUACAAACAUUGAAUAGCAUGUAUUGUGUGUGACUGAUGUUGCCGACUUGCCAUCCAUUGCAGUCCGCUCAUCCUGGAAUGCGAAUGCCCUGUGGGUUUGUCAAACGCUUCGAGACUACCUUGAGAGUAAGGGCUAUAUAUAAAUAAACGUAGUCAUCUCAUUUUAACAUUAGUAAUGUGAUCACAAAUUGGCUGGAUGGAACUAUAUUAAUGGAAUCCCGACCCAAAGCAGUUGUAAAGCAUGACAAAAAUGAAUAUAUUUUAAAAUCCUUAUUGUGUAACAGAAACAAACUAAAUGAGAUGAACAAACCAUCAUUCCUCCAUUGUCCCUUUUUGAUCCUGAUUCUGUGCAUAAUGCAGUACAUAGGCGUUUCAUUUGAUUCUAGACACAGUCAAAGUGACACAGUCAAACUCUUCUGCAUUCAGCUGUGUCCAUUGAUACGAGAUUGGUCAGUCGUGAUGGCCUCCUUGCGGCCCCUGUGCAGCUUCGGCAUGAUUGAUGGUGCUGUGCGACUCACAGCUGUGUGGACGUUUCUCUCUGGCUACAGUAGAAGGGGAAAAUCUUGUGGCAUUUUACAUGUUCACGCAUGAGCUGACGUGUCUGGAAAAAUGUGAAUGUGUAGUCCCGCUGUCCCUACAUCAUUGCAAAACAACUUUGAUAUUAAGACAAAGCAACUGGGAUGUGUCAUUUCCUCAAAAAUGACAUGUGAGUGCAAAUACUAUUAAGCAUCUCGUAGUACUCAUCACAUGAUAA